AAGUCGUAACAAGGUUUCCGUAGGUGAACCUGCGGAAGGAUCAUUAUUGAAUAUUCUUGAUGGGUUGUAGCUGGCUCUUCGGGGCAUGUGCACGCCUGUCUUGACUUUAUUCAUCCACCUGUGCACCUUUUGUAGUCUUGGGGGUUGAGAGCAGUCAAUAAUCGGAUGACCAUUUGGUCACUCCGGGUGUGAGGAAUGCUGAGUGCGAAAGCAUACAGCUCUUCUCAAAGUGACUUGUAAUCCUCUCCUUCAAGUACUAUGUAUUCAUAUACCCAUAGUAUGUUGUAGAAUGUGAUCAAUGGGCCUAAGUGCCUAUAACAAUCAUAUACAACUUUCAGCAACGGAUCUCUUGGUUCUG
rnacentral:misc_RNA from 1 species